rnacentral:rRNA from 1 species
UCUUCUGAAGACACGAGUGGCGCACGGGUGAGUAACGCGUACGCAAUCUACCUCUAUCAGGGGGAUACACACGGGAAACUGUGGAUAAUCCCGCAUACAAUUCAGACUUGGCAUCAGGUUUGGAUAAAAGUUAAGGCGGAUAGAGAUGAGCGUGCGUCUGAUUAGCUAGUUGGUGAGGUAACGGCUCACCAAGGCGACGAUCAGUAGGGGGCGUGAGAGCGUGAUCCCCCACACGGGUACUGAGACACGGACCCGACUCCUACGGGAGGCAGCAGUAAGGAAUAUUGGUCAAUGGGCGGAAGCCUGAACCAGCCAUGCCGCGUGCGGGAAGAAGGCCCUCUGGGUUGUAAACCGUUUUUGUCAGGGAAGAAUGGGCGGGAUUUAUCCUGUUAGGGACGGUACCUGAAGAAUAAGCACCGGCUAACUCCGUGCCAGCAGCCGCGGUAAUACGGAGGGUGCAAGCGUUAUCCGGAAUCACUGGGUUUAAAGGGUACGUAGGCGGUUUUAUAAAGUCAGGUGUGAAAUACCGCGGCCUAACUGCGGAACUGCACUUGAUACUGCAAAACUUGAGCAGGGUGGAGGUACAC